rnacentral:rRNA from 1 species
CAGCCGUAAACUAUGCUCGCUAGGUGUCAGGGACGGUGCGACCGUUUCUGGUGCCGCAGGGAAGCCGUGAAGCGAGCCACCUGGGAAGUACGGUCGCAAGGCUGAAACUUAAAGGAAUUGGCGGGGGGAGCACCACAACGGGUGGAGCUUGCGGUUUAAUUGGAUUCAACGCCGGAAAUCUUACCGGGACCGACAGCAACAUGAAGGCCAGGCUGAAGACUUUGCCGGAUUAGCUGAGAGGAGGUGCAUGGCG